rnacentral:lncRNA from 1 species
CCGAUCUUCCGGAGCCGGCCCAAGGUCCUGUUAUCAUUGAUUGCCUUAAGCAAAAAUCGCUCUCGGACAUACAGCAAAUUAUUAGGGCAGCCCCAGGCAACUUAACAACCCCAGGGGAACUUAUCAAAUAUGUGCUUGACCAUCAGCGCGCUACUCCGUUAACAAAUGAGGGCUUAGCCGCAGCCCUCCAGCUCGCAGUACAGGCAGCUGCACGCCCCAAGGACGGGGGAGGGAAAGGUGUCUGUUAUAAGUGCGGACAACCCGGACACUUUAGGACCAACUGUCCGAAUAAAGGUGGCUCAAAAACAGACACAGACAAAAAAUGCCAGUGGUGUGGUGGGGCGAGCCACACGGCGCGUAACUGCAGGAAGAUCAAGGAAGCGAUGCAGGGAAACGGCCAAGGGAGGGCGCCUCGGGCCCAGGGCACCUUCCCAAAUCAGAGCAAUGGGCCAAGGAGAACAUGCCCACCGUGGCAUUAGCCAUGGGAUUGGGGGACCGUCCACUAGUUAAGGUGGUAAUGUCAUAUGCGGGUCCGUGGCCCCAAAAAGAGGGACCUCGAACCACGCUUUUUACGGCUUUGCUAGAUUCUGGUGCGGACGUUACAGUGAUUGCGGAGGCCGAUUGGCCGACGAACUGGCCACUCACCUCGCAUUGGCAGCAUAUUGGGGGAGUGGGAGGCACAGUCCCAACAAAAGGGGCUGCAGAGGAAGUGGAGAUCGCUAUCAUUGAUAGGAGUGGGAUGAUGGAGGCACCGGUGUUGGUGCAACCCCUCGUGGCACCGGUGGAAGGAUCAAUCUUAGGGCGUGAUUUUCUCACGUCCUUGGGAGUUCGACUCACAAAUUUAUACUAAGGGCCACUGUGUACCACCUUGCGCUGCAUUUUGCCAUCCCAUUACGCUGGAAACGGGAAGCGUCUCCCGUUUGGGUGGAUCAGUGGCCCCUUCCAACUGAUAAAUUAGCAGCGCUGACGCAGCUGGUCUCCAGGGAACUGGAGGCGGGACACAUUGAACCGUCACUUAGUAGGUGGAACACGCCCAUCUUUGUUAUCUGGAAACCAUCGGGGUCCUUCCGUUUAUUGCAUGAUCUUCGGGCUGUUAAUGCACAGCUCGUCCAGUUCGGUCCCGUUCAGCAAGGCAGUCCAUCACUUGCAGCUGUUCCCAGGGGAUGGCCCCUUGUGGUCAUUGACCUUAAGGAUUGCUUUUUCUCCAUCCCUUUGGCAGAACAGGACCGGGAGGCUUUUGCAUUCACAUAACGAGAACUGAGCGUUUCUGUUGCAGGCGUGGCUACUGGGGAAGCCGAAGACCCCGACACCGGAGAAGCGGAAAAAAAAAAAAAAACACUUAUAUGGGUGCGUGGACCACCGAAGACAAGCCAGGACACGGACCCGGCAACACAGCCGUUACUGCCCACACCGAGAAAUUUGGUUCUAUCUCUGCUAAUGUGUCUAUGUUCUUUGCCAGGGGGUGGCACGGCUAUUGACUUCUUGCUUUUAGCUCAAAGCCACGGAUGUGAGGAUGUCGAAGGGUUCUGUUGCUUCAACUUAAGUGAUCACAGCGCAUCGAUCCAUAAACAACUACAGUGGAUGCAAGGCCACACACAGAAGAUCAAGAUGCAGGCCGAUCCCUUCGGUGAAUGGUUGGAGGGUCUGUUUGGGGAAUUAGAGCCAUGGCUAAAACAAAUGCUUAAAACGCUUAUCGUAGUUUUAGCAAUAUUCUUGGCUAUUAUGCUCUGUCUUCCAUGCUUUGUUCAGCUUCUUAAGGCAUGCUUAAGAAACUUCAUAGAGGAAAUCUCACGUCAGCAGUACGCGUAUCAGCGCAUUCAGGAGCAAUUAUAGACGCACUUAGGAAUAGAAAUAGAGUUAGGAUUUGCGUUCGCGUUGUUACGGGUCAGCUUUCUGUGGCAUGGGGAGGGGGAGAUGUUGUAAUAGGCGUGAUCGGGGUCUCGGGAUGUAACGUGUCAGGCUCCUCCCCAUGUGUUAGGUACGUGCCACGUGUACCAUCCAGUGGGCGUACACGAAGGGUUAAAAGAUAUAUAAGUGCUUGUUAGAACUUAAUAAACGCCAUUUUGCCGCUCAUCAUAUUGGUGUCACCUCGGUAUUUGGCCAAGCCGCAGGCUCCCCUAAGCAACGAACAUCACGGUUGCCUGCGAAAGGCAACAGCU